AUGCACGCUAGCUACAGGCUUAACACAUGCAAGUCGAGGGGCAGCGGUAUCGAAAGCUUGCUUUCGGUAGCCGGCGACCGGCGCACGGGUGAGUAACGCGUAUCGAACCUGCCUCAUACUCGGGAAUAGCCUUGCGAAAGUAAGAUUAAUGCCCGGUGUUUUCAGAGUCCCGCAUGAGGCUUUGAACAAAGAUUUAUCGGUAUGAGAUGGCGAUGCGUCCCAUUAGCUUGUUGGCGGGGUAACGGCCCACCAAGGCAUCGAUGGGUAGGGGUUCUGAGAGGAAGGUCCCCCACAUUGGAACUGAGACACGGUCCAAACUCCUACGGGAGGCAGCAGUGAGGAAUAUUGGUCAAUGGGCGGAAGCCUGAACCAGCCAAGUAGCGUGCAGGAAGACGGCCCUCCGGGUUGUAAACUGCUUUUAGUUGGGAAUAAAACGGGGCUCGUGAGCCCCCUUGCAUGUACCAUCAGAAAAAGGACCGGCUAAUUCCGUG
rnacentral:rRNA from 1 species